UAUUAAUUUUUAUCUCCUAAUUAAUUUAUGGUUGUGAGGUUGAAGAAGAUAUAAGAGAGCACACUAAGAAUAAAAAAUAAAUAAAGAUAAAACAAAUUCAAAUUAAAGGUAUAACGCUAAAAAAAACUAUAAAAUUAUUACACAAAUGAGUUUAGAAAUAGUUAUCACACACAAGAUGAAUAUUUGUUACACUGAUUUGAUUUGCUCUGACUGAUAUUUGCUUGCAUUUUGAAUUAGUGUAUUUUUCUAUAACUAAUUUCGUGUUUCAAAUCACUUACUAACAAAACUCUGACUAGUCUCAAAAAAUGAAGAAAAAAAAAUUCCCUUUGAUUUUCUUACUCUAUAACAAAUGAUGAAUCAACGUAUCCAUGUGAAAAAAUUGGAUUUUGAAUCAUUGCUUGUUUUUUGUUGAAAAAUUGGAUUUACUAAGGUAAGUCUAGAAAAGAGAGGAUGCAUUUUCUAAUUGAUUAUAUACAUGGUAACAAUUGUAGCCAUAUUAGGAUAAAAAGAAAGAAAAAAAAAACAAAAGUGGCUAAAAAAAUGGUUGAAGAGAGGAUGUAUUUUUUAAUUAUAUGAAUACAUAGGAACAUUGUAGCCGUAAGAAAGGUGAAAAGCAAGGAGGUUGAAAAGAUGGAAGGGAGUGUACUCCUAUAGCUUGCUGAGUUGAGCCCAAACCAAAAUCAGAGGCAACUAGAACCAAAUACAACUAGAAAUCAGAGGAAACCAAUAACUACAAACAAUUAGAACUUGAGGCGACCAGAACCAGAGGCAACUAGAACUUGAGGCAACCAGAAACUAAAGGAACCAGAGACAACCAGAAUUGGAGGCAAACAGGAACCAAAGACAACUAGAACUAAAGACAACCAAAAUCAGAUGCAACCCACACAAAAACUAUCACACUUGCUUAAUGCAUAGUUUAACUUUCAUUAAUUAAUAAGCAUAAUUGUGAUCCACUAUGAGUUAAUAUGGGUCUAACUAUUGGGCCAAAUUUAUUAAUGUCACUCUGAAUCUUUUCUUUCA